AUCUUUUUCUAAAGAAGCUGCCCCACCCGUCACAAGGCAAUUAUACUCCUUGAUUAUCACUGUGAUUAUGUUUUCAUCACCUCAUUAUCCCGUCUCUUCCCUCUCUAGGUGAGCAGAUGCUUCGUGUAAUUCACCUGGCACUUCCUAGCAUGCAGUUGGAAUCCAAUACACGCACUUGUUGCAUGAAUGGAUGAAUGAAGGAACACCCCCAUGAUCUCGCUUGAACUGCAAGCCAACACUGUAAGAUAAAUGGCCCAUGAUGCUACGAUUAGAAAUCGGGGGAAGGGAGUUCUCGAGAGAGCAAAUUCUGCCAAGGAUUCACUAGAAGGCCUGGAGUGACAGUGACAAUCGCCUUGCUGAUCAGUAGGCUCUUCCUGCCCGCAGUCCUGUCUGCUCCCCUCAAAGGUUGUAACGAAAAGAGAUUCAAACCAGAUGUGGUCCUGGUGACUCUUGGUAGCCGAGGGUGGAACUGUGCUGUGAUAAUACCAUAUUAGUUUGGGGCAACAUAUCUAUCCACAGCCCCGGCCACAGAGCUAAGUGGUUGACAUUUCCAGGAACUAUGUCCCCACGCUUGAGUUCGGCGUUUGCAAGGGCCUCAGACCCUCACUGGACUUCUCAGUUUUCCGCGAAGGGGCUCGUUCUUCAGCCGUUGUCCGGCCCCUGUCUCCCAAACACACCCCCUGGGGAGAACCUCGCUCACAGGGCAAGGCCGGGACCCCAGUCACUCCCUUGGCGACACAGCGGAGGCCGAGUGGGAGGCAGGCGCACCCCAGAAGAGCCAGGCUCAGUGGGAGCCGAGGGAGCACGGCCCAAACAGCCCACGGGAUCACAGGCCACAUUGUUAUUACUUUUUAAUUAAAAUGGCGUCUUUCCCCCUUAUUACAAAAGCCAUGUCUGUUUAUUUUAGCAAAAUUAGACAGUCCAGACCGGCGAAAAGGAAAAAUUAAAAAUGACCCAUGACCCAGAGAGAGAGCCAUUGUUAGCACCCCAGGGUAUUCAGGGGUCAGAAACAAAAUGCACGGGGAGGUGGGGGGCCUGGCCAGUUAAUGUAAAUGUGAAUUGGAUGCUACUAAAAUUAAUAAAAAUGUGGGAAUCGCGUGGCAUUCAAAUGAAUACAAAGGUGUGAGUAGGGUGAAUUUAUAUGCAAAU